rfam:Streptomyces griseoflavus Tu4000 genomic scaffold supercont1.1, whole genome shotgun sequence.
AGCCCGCACCCACUGACUGACCCGUGUACGGCAGGAGCGGGGGACCCACAGGUACGACUGCCUGUUCCGGUUCCCGGAACGGCUUGGGGUUAAGCCGCGUGAAAACGCGGCCGGGCAUCUCCAGUCCGAACCCGACAGCUCACCUCGCAGGCGCCGGAGAGGAAUU